rnacentral:rRNA from 1 species
UGGGGAAUAUUGAACAAUGGGCGCAAGCCUGAUCCAGCCAUGCCGCGUGUGUGAAGAAGGCCUUCGGGCUGUAAAGCACUUUCAGUAGGGAGGAAGCGUUGUGUGUUAAUAGUACACAGCGUCGACGUUACCUACAGAAGAAGCACCGGCUAACUCUGUGCCAGCAGCCGCGGUAAUACAGAGGGUGCAAGCGUUAAUCGGAAUUACUGGGCGUAAAGCGCACGUAGGCGGUUUUUUAAGUCAGAUGUGAAAGCCCCGGGCUCAACCUGGGAAUUGCAUUUGAAACUGGAAAACUAGAGUGUGUGAGAGGGGGGUAGAAUUCCAAGUGUAGCGGUGAAAUGCGUAGAGAUUUGGAGGAAUACCAGUGGCGAAGGCGGCCCCCUGGCACAACACUGACGCUCAGGUGCGAAAGCGUGGGGAGCAAACAGGAUUAGAUACCCUGGUAGUCCACGCCGUAAACGAUGUCUACUAGCUGUUCGUGACCUUGUGUCGUGAGUAGCGCAGCUAACGCAUUAAGUAGACCGCCUGGGGAGUACGGUCGCAAGAUUA